AGCUACUACAGCCGUGAUUCUGUUUCCGCUUCCGGUUAAAGUAUUUCAGAGAAAGAGCACAAGAUGGCGCCAGAAUCAAGGCAAAUGCGGUGGUUCGGUGUGUCUCUGCGGCCGUUUAACUCGUGCAUCUUAGGAUGAACCCGACCUUUACCCGAUGACUGCCUGGAUUGGCUCCAGCUCCCCCUACAGAUUAAGCGGUAGAAAAUAAAUGGUCGGAUGGACGAGCUUCUGAAUUAUAGAGUCGACUCUCCAAGAAUCUACAGAGGACAGGACAAUCCUUCACUCACACACUGAACCAAUAUAAGCUCAGCCCUGAAAUCACAGAGCUCUGGGUUUGGAUCUCGUGUGACCAUUACACAAUCUGGAACCUGUUACAGCGCCCCGAGCCCAGGUUUGAUGCCCCAUCUGCAAAAGUCAGAUCAGCCUUUCACGGGUCCACAUGGAACGCUCUGAUAGCAUCAACCCUGGCCCGGCCGACAGGGAAGUGAAGUUUCACAUUCUUUCUUCAACAUAUUAUGUGAUUUAUUUUUCUUCUUCUUCCUCCAGUCAUUUUCAGUGUAUAUUUCUAUUCUAAAACCCAGCAAUGUAGAAAUAACACACUGUUAUCGUGGGUUUUUGUGUGUGAUUCAAACUUAAGACUAACUCCUAAAUAUGAACAGAAGUUCCCCGGCAUCGAACAUCGGAGCAGGUACUGCGGCUCCUGUCGUUUCUGUGAAGCAUUUAAAAAGCUGUUGUAAAAAGCCUGAGGUGUGAAGUUUCGCUCCUUUGGUGUCGUAACAGCUGCUGAAUUUGAAUUUCCAGCUUGUAAUUUGGUCUGGAGUGAACCAGGUGUGACGCCCGCGGUCAGUCUGCAGCUAAUGACCAGUUCAAAACGGCAACCUUUAGGUUAUUUGGUUGAUGCACUGCUUCGUUUUAAUGCAGGGUCACUGUGGCAGCGAAUAACAGUUAGACUCCGCCCACUGGUGGCAGAGAACCAGCACUGCAUCUCUGCAGAGACUUCAUUUGGCUUCAAGAAUCCAAAUCCAUUUGCCAACACGAAGCUCUGAACCUGGACGACCUGGACUUCGGUCAUUUGGAUGACCCCCUGCGUACGAUGCCCCCUGCUGCUGAUGUAUAAUCACAGCACUAUAUCAAAUUUCCAAAUUACAGUUGUGCGUUGCAUGAUUCAUUGUAAAUAGCGCUGUUAGAAAAUAACCCGUGAUGGAAGGUAAACAGUGGAAACGUUGGCUCAACGUGGAGCUGCUCGAGACCAGCGCUGCUGGUGGUUUUAUGCGUCAUUACUAGUAAAAUAAGUAAAAAAAAAAGUUCACUUCAGUUCCCAGAUGCACAUUUUUCUGCCUGUUUGUUUUAGUCCACAACAGCUGCAACGCUCGACCACAGUCAAAUCAAUCACAUCAUAUUUACACGCACUGUCCCGGUAAACAGGGUUCAACACACAUUUCAUAGUAGUAACAGUCAAAGGAAGAAUAAAUAUAUAUGAUAAUAUAACUUAAAGAAAGAAAUGACUCUAUAAGUUCAUAUAUGACGCUAGCUGGAUGUGUUCAAAACAAGCAUAGAAUGUUUUUGGUCAUGACCCAGAAAUGAGUCAUUUCUUCCAAGAGUCUCAUCUCUGUCAAGCAAAAAUUCUCAUCACCCCAUUAGUUGAGUUUAUCAUUACUAUAUA